rnacentral:tRNA from 1 species
UCCCUGGAGGUCUAGUAGUUAAGACUUUGCCUUCCAAUGCAAGGGGUGUGGGUUCCAUCCCGGCUCAGGGAG